AUCCACACCACCUGAGGAUCUUGUUACAGUUCAGAUUUUAAUUCAGAAAGUUGGGGUGGGGGCUAAAAUUCUGCAUUUGUAAUAAACUUUCAGGUGAUACUGGU
rnacentral:pre_miRNA from 1 species